rnacentral:rRNA from 1 species
UACGUAGGGGGGCAAGCGUUGUCCGGAUUUAUUGGGCGUAAAGCGCGUGUAGGCGGCUCGUUAUGUCGGGUGUGAAAGCCCUCAGCUUAACUGAGGAAGUGCGCCCGAAACUGGCGAGCUUGAGUGUCGGAGAGGAUAGCGGAACACCCGGUGUAGAGGUGAAAUGCGUAGAUAUCCGAAGGAACACCGGUGGCGAAGGCGGCACGCUGGGUCCCUACUGACGCUGAGGCGCGAAAGCCAGGGGAGCGAACGGG